UACGUAGGGUGCAAGCGUUGUCCGGAAUUAUUGGGCGUAAAGAGCUCGUAGGCGGUUUGUCGCGUCUGCUGUGAAAACCCGAGGCUCAACCUCGGGCCUGCAGUGGGUACGGGCAGACUAGAGUGCGGUAGGGGAGAUUGGAAUUCCUGGUGUAGCGGUGAAAUGCGCAGAUAUCAGGAGGAACACCAAUGGCGAAGGCAGCUCGCUGGAACGGUACUGACGCUGAGGCGCGAAAGCGUGGGGAGCAAACAGG
rnacentral:rRNA from 1 species